rnacentral:rRNA from 1 species
ACGGAGGGUCCGAGCGUUAUCCGGAAUUAUUGGGUUUAAAGGGUCCGUAGGCGGGCCGAUAAGUCAGGGGUGAAAGUCUGCCGCUCAACGGUAGAACUGCCUUUGAUACUGUCGGUCUUGAGUUAUAGUGAAGUUGCCGGAAUAUGUAGUGUAGCGGUGAAAUGCAUAGAUAUUACAUAGAACACCGAUUGCGAAGGCAGGUGACUAACUAUAUACUGACGCUGAUGGACGAAAGCGUGGGGAGCGAACAGG